AAAAUAUAUAAUUAUAGCUAAAUAUUACUAUCCCACACUUAAACGUUGCUCGUCCUCGAAUCAACCAACAAUUCAUAUUUACCACAUUGAAGCAUACUACACCAAUAACCAUGGUUGAUAGCAACAAUUAAACAUUAGGAUGUGCAAUCACUUAUACUUCACUUUACUCAUGCCAUUCUUCAAAAAUAUUCAAACAGAGACAAUAUGUUCAUGACAAUCCUUGCCUCAAAAUCUACUCAAUGUUACAAUGCACUCAUGGCUUGAACACCCAACAUCCUAGAGAAGUCUAAUAAUGCUACCUAUCCUUCGUGAAAUCAUGUGCCCUCACAACCAAGGCAAGAGAGUAAGUUGAAUCCACACAUUCGAAUAUCAUGAUAAAAUAUAUUUUAAGUACUCAUAUAUAUCAAAGAAAAUAUUGCUCACCAUCGCAAAAGAAGUCACAUGCAUGUAACUGGUACCAUAUGCUUGCCCUUAAUGUAAAUCUCUACUAAUGUAGGCUCGCUCG
rnacentral:lncRNA from 1 species